rnacentral:rRNA from 1 species
UUUCGCAAUGCCCGAAAGGGUGACGAAGCGACGCCGCGUGCGGGAAGAAGGCCUUCGGGUUGUAAACCGCUGUCGGGAGUUAAGAAGUGCAAGGGUGUUAAUAGCAUCCUUGCUUGACUAAGGCUCCGGAGGAAGCCACGGCUAACUCUGUGCCAGCAGCCGCGGUAAUACAGAGGCGGCAAGCGUUGUUCGGAAUUAUUGGGCGUAAAGAGCACGUAGGCGGCUAUGCAAGUCGGUUGUGAAAGCCUUCCGCUCAACGGAAGAACGGCAUCCGAUACUGCAUGGCUCGAGUGCGGGAGGGGAGAGUGGAACUUCUGGCGGAGCGGUGAAAUGCGUAGAUAUCAGAAGGAACACCGGCGGCGAAAGCGACUCUCUAGCCCGUAACUGACGCUGAGUGUGCGAAAGCUAGGGGAGCAAACGGGAUUAGAUACCCCGGUAGUCCUAGCCGUAAACGAUGGGCACUAAGUAGAGGGG